rnacentral:lncRNA from 1 species
AUCAUCAUGAGAAAGGAGAAAAAUGAUGCUUUUGAUAAAAGCAAGUCAAGAAAGGUUGUGUCCUCCUCCUCACAUUUUUUUUGGAAAGCAGUCCUAUUCAAAUUUAAAAUUGAAGCCACUUCCUCUCUUCCCAACAGUAUUGAAACCUGAGAAGAAAAGAGCGCAGCCUUAAAUGCUAUUACUCUGCAGCUAGUACAAAAGGAGAGGGAUUUGCAUUAGAACAAGUGCUAAGAGUUGUGCUUCAGGCAAGGAGGAUGCUUUGGUUGUUCAAUCAUUCAAGGUAUGCACUGGCUGCCAUUCAUAGAAUUUCCCUCUGAUAAAACUGUAACAAACCUAUUCAAUAAUACAUAUGGCAUUGAGAUAUACCCAAUAGUCACUCAUCCUUCACAAGCAAAGGGGAUGCUGAAACUGACUAUAAACAAACCUUCAUGGGGACACGGAUGGAAGAUAAUAAGUGUAGCUUCUUCCUCUGGGCAAGCGCUCAUUAUCAAGUGCCUCUGGGCAAGGCACUACAUCUGAACACAGCCAGAUAUAGAUGGUCUGUGACAGAAGAAACCUGAUGGUCUUACUGAACUCACCCCAGGUACUGUGCUUUUGAUAUUAUUCUAUAGUGUAGUCUUUAUAAUUUGGUUUUCUGUAGCAUCCCUGGAACAAGUUCAUAUGUGCUGGUGUGAGUUUCAUUUUGCAUGUGCUGCUUUAUCAUGAACAUGGAAGAUAUACUAGGUUUCUGUGGUAGAAACACUCUGGCCUCUUCCAAAGCAGAAGGCUCUGGGCUGUAGACCUUCAAAUAGACGCAAACAUGCAAAGCUUUUAAAAGCUCUGACUUCUGGGAAUGGAACAAAUUGCUGAAAUCACUUCUGCCUUGAUCCAACAAUUCAUUAUCUCCCAGAAACAGUGGCUUUUAUAGCUGCUAAGGGGCUGCUAUACUCUUCUAGAAAGAAGGAAUAGUCUCAAUACAGACAUGAAUUUUCAAGCCCUUUAUUAAAAUCUUCAGACUUAAUUUUAUUUGUCUAAAUCUGUAAUCAAUCUAAGAAUGGGAUGGAGAUAUUUUUAUAAAACGAAUUUAGAAAAUAACUAAUUUUAUUUUACAUGAAACAAAAUUGGCCCUUUAUAAUAAACUCCCCAAAUAUUCCAGAGAAAGAAUUAUAUUUUUAUUCCCUCAUUAUACAGAUGGGAAAUUAUCAAAAUGAAUAUUAAAAUCUUGAUUCCUAUUCAUGCUUGAUAUGGAAAACAAGACCUUGUAAACUUUUAAUAUUUUCUAAUAGACAAGUGUGUAAUAAUUUACUAAGGGCACCCUAUUGUCCUAGAUUUAUUUUGAGUCUCUUUAUUGACGUAAUCAGAUUAAUUUAAGAAUGAAAAUUAACCCCAACUUUAGAGACAGAAACAACACAAGUCAAGAGUGCUGUCUGAUUUGCCUGAGGCCUGUUUUCACCCAGGAAAGAAAUGGCACUAUUGGUGAUUAUUUAGUAGGUAAAUAACUAUAGGUCAUGUCUGAAUCUAAUGAUAGGAAUACUUUCAUCAAACCUAAACUUGAAUGAUACCAUUACACAAAAAUGGGGACCAGGAAAAGAGUUCAGUAUCUUGAUUUUUAAGACAUGUUUAUAUAUCUUCAAUUAGUGUCUACACAGGGCAAUUUUAUUUAGAUUAGUUAGGUA